rnacentral:tRNA from 1 species
GCCGAAAUAGCUCAGAGGUAGAGCAGUACACUCGUAAUGUAAAGGUCAGAGGUUCAAGUCCACUUUUCGGCA